rnacentral:lncRNA from 1 species
GGAGGGGGAGGUAAGGAGAGAGGAGGGAGAGAAUGGGAGGAGUUAAGGUAUAAAAGGAAGGCUCCUUUUGAGCGGGUUUCAGAUUCAACCGGACUCUAAGACACACUGGAGCCUUUGACAUCACAACACACAGACACACACAGACACACAGACACACACAGACACGCACAGACACACACAGACACACACAGACACACACCUCUCUCGGCAACGGCGUUUCAGACCAACUUCUCAACAUGCUAACAAGGACUCUGCUGGUUCUCUGCUUGCUGGCGAGGAUGGGCCUCACAGCACCGGUUGAGGGAGUCGGAAAAACCGUUAGUCCAACAGAUGCUUCUGCAGUAAUUAAAGGAGUAGGAAACACCAUCGGUCCAAAAGAUGAUUCUGCAGUCGAUGAAGACCUGAUCACAGACUCGCCCGACGCUGCAGAAUCCCAGGAGCAGGUGAACGACCAGGAGGACCCACAGCCAGGAGGAGACAGCAGCCAGGAGGAGAAGGAUGUGGACCUGGAAGACAAGACGUCGGAAGAGAAGGAGGAGGAUCUCCUAGAGAACAGUUCAGAGGAGGAGGAGGAGGAGGGAACAAAGGAGGAGAGUUCAGAGGAGGAGAGUCCAGAGGAGGAGGAGGGACCAAAAGAGGAGAGUUCAGAGCAGGAGAGUCCAGAGGAGGAGGAGGGACCAAAAGAGGAGAGUUCAGAGGAGGAGGAGGGACCAGAAAAGGAAAGUUCAGAGGAAGAGGAGGAGCCAGAGUCAGACCAGAAGAACGAUAGCACCGCCGCUGGUGUGGCAGAUGAUGCUGAUGAUAAUAAUGACGACUCUGACGAGGCUGGACAGUCCGGCAAGCCUAGCGAGUCUGACAAGGUUACCAUGGUUACCACGGCUAGCUGGGUUAACGACUCGAGCGAGAAUAGAGAGGUUAACGACCCUAGGGAAUAUACCAAGGCUACCGAGGAUAGCGACUCUAGCGAGAAUAAAGAGGUUAACGACUCUAUCGAGGCUACCGCAGCUAGCGAGUCUGACGAGGUUGCCAUGGUUACCGAGGCUAGCGAGGAUAGCGACUCUAGCGAGAACAAAGAGGUUAACGACUCUAUCGAGGCUACCGCGGCUAGCGAGUCUGACGAGGAUAGCGACUCUAGCGAGAAUAAAGAGGUUAACGACUCUAUCGAGGCUCCCGCGGCUAGCGAGUCUGACGAGGUUGCCAUGGUUACCAAGGCUAGCGAGGAUAGCGACUCUAGCGAGAAUAGCGAGGUUAGCGACUCCGGCGAGGUUACCAAGGCUACCGAGUCUAGCGAGGACAGCGAGUCUAGCGAGGACAGCGACUCUAGCGACAAUAGCGAGGUUAGCGACUCCAGCGAGGUUACCAUGGCUGGCGAGGCCAGCAAUGCUAGCAAGGCUAUCGAUGCCAGCGAUGCUAGCGACUCUAGCGACUCUAGCGAAUCUAGCAAGUCUAGCGAAUCUAGCGACGCCAGCGACGCUGGUGAUGCUAGCGACUCUAGCGAGGCUAACAAGGCUAACGAGGCCGGUGAGGCUAGCGAGGUCUCCGAAUCCAACGAGUCGAGCGAGGAGUCGGAACAGAAGCUAGCAGAGGAGCUGGACGAGAUGCUUGAAGGAUGUCCGACGAUCCCUGAGGAGGUGGAGAAGGCGCAGUUGGAGCAGGAGGAGCAGGCCUCAGCAGCAAGCAGCAGCGAGGAGACACCAGACGACGUUGGGGCCCACAGAGAGUGGCCCGAGGCCGAGGCGCCCGGGACCAACGACCCUCCGCUUCGCUGAAUGUGAGCCCCCCCCACCCCACCCACCCCCCCCCCGUAAAUAGCCCCGCCCCCCCAACCAGUUGACCCCUUGGCGUGGCGGCCUCGCACUCCCCAUGCCAUAGCAACCUAAUAACCAUGUCCGUUUGCCUGUUGCGUUGUUUGUUAUCGCAGACAUGAAAAAACGGAGGUUCCCAUGAAGGCCGUCCAAUCAGGUCACACAGCUGCCCCCAACACAGGGUACACACACACACACACACCCACACACACACACACAUACACACACACACACCACACCACACACACAAACCACACACACACCACACACCCACCACACACACACACAACACACACACACACACACACACACACACACACACACACACACAGACAGGUACACACACACUGAUGAUGCCAAUUCAAAGCUCACACUCAAAAGUUGUGUUUUUGUCACUCAAUCACCUGACAACUCAUUAGCUCAAACAUUCAAAAUCCACCACCACCUCCACCACCUCCACCACCUCCACCACCUCCACCACCUCCACCACCCCAACCACCCCCACCUCCCCCAACUCCCACACCCCCACCACCUCCAGCACCUCCAGCACCUCCAGCACCUCCAGCACCUCCACCACCUCCCCCUUCUCCCCCACCUCCCCCACUUCCCCCACCUCCCCCUUCUCCCCCACCUCCCCCACUUCCCCCACCUCCCCCACCUCCCCCUUCUCCCCCACCUCCCCCACUUCCACCACCUCCCCCUUCUCCCCCACCUCCACCACCUCCACCACCUCCCCCACUUCCACCACCUCCCCCUUCUCCCCCACCUCCCCCUUCUCCCCCACCUCCCCCGCCCCCACCACCUCCCCCUUCUCCCCCACCUCCCCCUUCUCCCCCACCUCCCCCGCCCCCACCACCUCCCCCUUCUCCCCCACCCCCACCUCCACCACCUCCCCCACCUCCACCACCUCCCCCCACCUCCACCACCUCCCCCUCCUCCACCUUGUUGAAGCAUUAGACCUGAUGAACGCCUCAUGUUUCAUUCUCUCCAGAUGCUGGGAACUCCAAGAAGCCUGAGUGAGACGUCUCCAGGUAACACCACCCUACUGACGUAGCUCUCUCUCUAACACCACCUAACAGACAUAGCUAUCUCUCUAACACCGCCCUACUGACGUAGCUCUCUCUAACCCCACCCUACUGACGUAGCACUCUCUCUUUAAGACCACCCUACUGACGUAGUUCUCUCUCUAACACAGCCCUACUGACGUAGCUCUCUCUCUAACACCACCCUACUGACGUAGCUCUCUCUCUAACACCACCCUACUGACAUAGCUCUCUCCCUAACACCACCCUACUGACAUAGCUCUCACUCUGACACCACCCUACUGACAUAGCUCUCUCCCUAACACCACCCUACUGACGUAGCUCUCUCUCUAACACCACCCUACUGACGUAGCUCUCUCUAAACCAACCCUACUGACGUAGCUCUCUCUAACCCCACCCUACUGACGUAGCACUCUCUCUUUAAGACCACCCUACUGACGUAGCUCUCUCUCUAACACCGCCCUACUGACGUAGCUCUCUCUAACACCACCCUACUGACGUAGCUCUCUCUAAACCAACCCUACUGACAUAGCUCUCUCUCUAACACCACCCUACUGACGUAGCUCUCUCUCCCUAACACCACCCUACUGACAUAGCUCUCUCUCUAACAACACCCUACUGACGUAGCUCUCAUUCUCUCUAACACCACCCUACUGACGUAGCUCUCUCUCUAAAACCACCCUACUGACGAAGCUCUCGUUCUCUCUAACACCACCCUACUGACGUAGCUCUCGUUCUCUCUAACACCACCCUACUGACGUAGCUCUCUCUCUAACACCACCCUACUGACGUAGCACUCUCUCUCUAACACCACCCUACUGACGUAGCUCGCUCUCUCUAACACCACCCUACUAACGUAGCUCUCUCUCUAACACCACCCUACUGACGUAGCUCUCGUUCUCUCUAACACCACCCUACUGACGUAGCUCGCUCUCUCUAACAACACCAUACUAACAUAUCUCUCUCUCUAACACCACCCUACUGAUGUAGCUAUCUCUCAAACACCACCCUACUGACAUAUCUCUCUCUCUAACACCACCCUACUGACGUAGCUCUCUCUCUAACACCACCCUACUGACGUAGCUCUCUCUCUCUAACACCACCCUACUGACACAGCUCGCUCUCUCUAACACCACCCUACUAACGUAGCUCUCUCUCUAACACCACCCUACUGACGUAGCUCGCUCUCUAACACCACCCUACUGACGUAGCUCUCUCUCUAACACCACCCUACUGACGUAGCUCUCGUUCUCUCUAACGCCACCCUACUGACGUAGCUCGCUCUCUCUAACACCACCAUACCGACAUAUGUCUCUCUCUAACACCACCCUGCUGACGUAGCUCUCUCUCUAACACCACCCUACUGACGUAGCUCUCUCUCUCUAACACCACCCUACUGACAUAGCUCGCUCUCUCUAACACCACCCUACUAACGUAGCUCUCUCUCUAACACCACCCUACUGACGUAGCUCGCUCUCUAACACCACCCUACUGACGUAGCUCUCUCUCUAACACCACCCUACUGACGUAGCUCUCUCUCUCUAACACCACCCUACUGACGUAGCACUCUCUCUCUAACACCACCCUACUGACAUAGCUCUCUCUCUAACACCACCCUACUGACGUAGCUCUCUCUCUCUAACACCACCCUACUGACGUAGCACUCUCUCUCUAACACCACCCUACUGACGUAGCUCUCUCUCUAUGAUGAAUAUAACAGUCACCUCAGCUAUUGUUCUUGUGAGAGGAGGAAUGUGAAGGUGUGUCUUUCUCUUUGUCUGGCCUCACCUCCUCUACCCUCAGCUCCUCCACCCUCAGCUCCUCCAUCCUCAGCUCCUCCACCCUCACCUCCUCUACCCUCACCUCCUCCACCCUCACCUCCUCCACCCUCAGCUCCUCUACCCUCAGCUCCUCUACCCUCACCUCCUCUACCCUCACCUCCUCCACCCUCAGCUCCUCUACCCUCAGCUCCUCUACCCUCAGCUCCUCUACCCUCACCUCCUCUACCCUCACCUCCUCCACCCUCACCUCCUCCACCCUCAGCUCCUCUACCCUCACCUCCUCUACCCUCAGCUCCUCCACCCUCAGCUCCUCCACCCUCACCUCCUCUACCCUCACCUCCUCCACCCUCACCUCCUCCACCCUCAGCUCCUCUACCCUCAGCUCCUCUACCCUCACCUCCUCUACCCUCACCUCCUCCACCCUCACCUCCUCUACCCUCAGCUCCUCUACCCUCAGCUCCUCUACCCUCACCUCCUCCACCCUCACCUCCUCCACCCUCAGCUCCUCUACCCUCAGCUCCUCUACCCUCAGCUCCUCUACCCUCACCUCCUCCACCCUCACCUCCUCCACCCUCACCUCCUCUACCCUCAGCUCCUCCACCCUCACCUCCUCUAUCCUCAGCUCCUCUACCCUCAGCUCCUCCACCCUCACCUCCUCUACCCUCACCUCCUCCACCCUCACCUCCUCCACCCUCACCUCCUCCACCCUCACCUCCUCUACCCUCACCUCCUCCACCCUCACCUCCUCCACCCUCAGCUCCUCUACCCUCACCUCCUCUACCCUCACCUCCUCUACCCUCACCUCCUCCACCCUCAGCUCCUCCACCCUCAGCUCCUCCACCCUCACCUCCUCUACCCUCACCUCCUCUACCCUCACCUCCUCCACCCUCACCUCCUCUACCCUCAGCUCCUCCACCCUCACCUCCUCCACCCUCACCUCCUUUACCCUCACCCGCUCUACCCUCACCCCCUCCACCCUCACCUCCUCCACCCUCACCCCCUCCACCCUCACCUCCUCCACCCUCACCUCCUCCACUCCUAUAUAUAAAGAUGAGAUAAAAAUAUUGCUAAAAGAUAGAUAUAGCUGUCGAUAUAUAGAAAUAGAUAAAGCUAAAAAUAGAUAGAUAGAGGUGUAGAUGUUGCUAUAGAGGUGGAGAUAUAGUGGUGGAUGUAGAUAUAGCUGUAGAGCUAUAGAUGUAGAGUUAUAGGUGUAGAGUUAUAGGUGUAGCGCUAUAGAUGUAGAGAUAUAGCUGUAGAUAUAGAUGUAGAGCUAUAGAUGUAGAGCUAUAGGUGUAGCGCUAUAGAUGUAGAGAUAUAGAUAAAGGUGUAUUGAUGAUCUUCCAUCUUGUCGUUCUCAGGCUGACUGAUCCAUUCCAGUCUUCCUCAUUCUUCAUCGCCAUGACAACCGCCUGUCUCUGAUGCCUCUCAACACCAUCUCCUCUUUCUUCAGCUGGGACACACACAUACACACACACACACACACACACACACACACACACACACACACAUACACACACACACACACAGACACACACACACACACACACACACACACGCACACACAAAUUCAACCACACACACACACACACACAGACACACACACACACACACACACACACAAACACACAAACACACACACACACACACACACACACACACACACACACACACACACACACAGCCAUACACACUGUGGACGGUGCUGGGUUAGGCGGGAGCUGAUUGGUCGGUUGGAAGCGUCUAACUAGACCAAACUCUCCCCUAUUAGUUUAGCUGCCUGUUAACCCAGCAGGUCAAAGGUCACCCAGCCCUGUUUGUACAUAUUUAGUGUUUCUGUUUAAAUCUGACCCUCUGGGUUCUGUUGUAAAUCUUGGGUUCCAACUGUUGUUCUGUCAGAGGAACCUUUGAACCUCUAAUAAAUUCUAGCAUAUGCGUGGAUGUUUUCUUUCCAGACUCAUUCAUUCGUUAUUAAUAUGUUUCUAAUGGUAGUCUAUCUAUCAAUCCUUUGGAUCAUUUGUGAUCAAGUGUUUUUAAUAGUAAUAGCAUGAUCUGUUCAUAUAUAAUAUAAUUCUAAGAUGUUUAUCCUUAAUUCAUUGUGAAUUUAUUAGUAGC